rnacentral:piRNA from 1 species
UCAAAGACAGGGUGACCAGAGAAGAGGGA